GAUGAACGCUGGCGGCGUGCUUAACACAUGCAAGUCGAACGGAAAGGCCCAAGCUUGCUUGGGUACUCGAGUGGCGAACGGGUGAGUAACACGUGGGUGAUCUGCCCUGCACUUCGGGAUAAGCCUGGGAAACUGGGUCUAAUACCGGCUAGGACCACUUCUCGGAUGUUGUGGUGGAAAGGUUUUCGGUGUGGGAUGAGCUCGCGGCCUAUCAGCUUGUUGGUGGGGUACUGGGCUACCAAGGCGUCGACGGGUAGCCGGCCUGAGAGGGUGUACGGCCACAUUGGGACUGAGAGACGGCCCAGACUCCUACGGGAGGCAGCAGUGGGGAAUAUUGGACAAUGGGCGCAAGCCUGAUGCAGCGACGCCGCGUGGGGGAUGACGGCCUUCGGGUUGUAAACUCCUUUCGCUAGGGACGAAGCUUAUUUUGUGACGGUACCUGGAGAAGAAGCACCGGCUAACUACGUG
rnacentral:rRNA from 1 species